GCAGUCGAGCGGCACUUAGAGUAGCUUGCUACUUUGCUGACUAGCGGCGGACGGGUGAGUAUUGCUUGGGAACAUGCCUUGGGGUGGGGGACAACAGUUGGAUCGACUGCUAAUACCGCAUAAUGUCUACUGACCGAAUGGGGCUUCUGCUCUCGCCUUUAUAUUGGCCCAAGGGGGAUUAGCUACUUGGAGAGGUAAUGGCUCACCAAGGCUACGAUCCCUAACUGGUUUGAAAGGAUGAUCAGCCACACUGGAACUGACACUCGGGCCAGACUCCUACGGGGAGGCAGCAGUGGGGAAUAUUGCACAAUGGGCGAAAGCCUGAUGCAGCCAUGCCGCGUGUGUGAAGAAGGCCUUCGGGUUGUAAAGCACUUUCAGUCAGGAGGAAAGGGUGUGAGUUACUACCUCAUAUCUGUGACGUUACUGACAGAAGAAGCACCGGCUAACUCCGUGCCAGCAGCCGCGGUAAUACGGAGGGUGCGAGCGUUAAUCGGAAUUACUGGGCGUAAAGCGUACACAGGCGGUUUGUUAAGCGAGAUGUGAAAGCCCCCGGGCUCAACCUGGGAACUGCCUUUCGUACUGGCAAAAUAGAGUGUGAUAGAGGGUGGUAGAAUUUCAGGUGUAGCGGUGAAAUGCGUAGAGAUCUGAAGGAAUACCGAUGGCGAAGGCAGCCACCUGAGUCAACRCUGACGCUCAUGUACGAAANCGUGGGGAGCAAACGGGAUUAGAUACCCCGGUAGUCCACGCCGUAAACGAUGUCUACUAGAAGCUCGGAACCUCGGUUCUGUUUUUCAAAGCUAACGCAUUAAGUAGACCGCCUGGGGAGUACGGCCGCAAGGUUAAAACUCAAAUGAAUUGACGGGGGCCCGCACAAGCGGUGGAGCAUGUGGUUUUAAUUCGAUGCAACGCGAAGAACCUUACCUACACUUGACAUACAGCAGAACUUACCAGAGAUAGCUUUGGUGCCUUCGAGGAACUUUGAUACAGGUGCUGCAUGGCUGUCGUCCGCUUGUGUCGUGAGAUGUUUGGUUAAGUCCCGCAACGAGCGCAACCCCUAUCCUUAGUUGGUAACAGGUAAUGCUGAGAACUCUAAGGAGACUACCGGUGCUAAACCGGAGGAAGGUGGGGAAGACGUCAAGUCAUCAUGGCCCUUACGUGUAGGGCUACACACCUGCUACAAUUGCGCAUACAGAGUGCUGCGAACCCGGGAACGUAAGGGAAUCACCAAAAAUGCGUCGUAGUCCGGAUUGGAGUCUGCAACUCGACUCCAUGAAGUCGGAAUCGCUAGUAA
rnacentral:rRNA from 1 species